rnacentral:lncRNA from 1 species
AGAGGAGUGAAGGAGCUGCUGCUUUCUGGCUGCAAUUCGGAUCUCCUGCUUCGACUUCAGAGCCAACAUCCAGACCUCCUGCUCUCCAGGGGCUGUUCCACUGGGUGCUGCAGACCCAAAGUGCCUCAUAAAUCACCGCUGACUGCCGGGAUCGCUUUGGCCGCUCUUCCCCAUCGUCCUGUCUGCAGGAAUGGGCUGCAUGUUUCCACGUGGAUCGGGUCUGAAUUGGCUGUCUGAACCCAGAGAUUAAAGAAACAGCAGCCUCUCUCUCUCCUGUAACUGGUUUGUUUCACAAAGGCUAAAAAUGGCAUUGCGUAAUACAGUGUGAUAAUCUUUCCUUCUCCUCUCCUCUCCUCUCCUCUCCUCUCCUCUCCUC